GAUGAACGCUGGCGGCGUGCCUAAUACAUGCAAGUCGAGCGAACAGACGAGGAGCUUGCUCCUCUGACGUUAGCGGCGGACGGGUGAGUAACACGUGGAUAACCUACCUAUAAGACUGGGAUAACUUCGGGAAACCGGAGCUAAUACCGGAUAAUAUAUUGAACCGCAUGGUUCAAUAGUGAAAGACGGUUUUGCUGUCACUUAUAGAUGGAUCCGCGCCGCAUUAGCUAGUUGGUAAGGUAACGGCUUACCAAGGCAACGAUGCGUAGCCGACCUGAGAGGGUGAUCGGCCACACUGGAACUGAGACACGGUCCAGACUCCUACGGGAGGCAGCAGUAGGGAAUCUUCAGCAAUGGGCGAAAGCCUGACGGAGCAACGCCGCGUGAGUGAUGAAGGUCUUCGGAUCGUAAAACUCUGUUAUUAGGGAAGAAAAAAUGUGUAAGUAACUAUGCACGUCUUGACGGUACCUAAUCAGAAAGCCACGGCUAACUACGUG
rnacentral:rRNA from 1 species